rnacentral:rRNA from 1 species
CAGCGCCACAAGUGGGAACCACGUUUAUUGGGCCUAAAGCAUCCGUAGCCGGCGCUGUAAGUUUUCGGUUAAAUCUGUACGCUCAACGUACAGGCUGCCGGGAAUACUGCAGCGCUAGGGAGUGGGAGAGGUAGACGGUACUCGGUAGGAAGGGGUAAAAUCCUUUGAUCUAUUGAUGACCACCUGUGGCGAAGGCGGUCUACCAGAACACGUCCGACGGUGAGGGAUGAAAGCUGGGGGAGCAAACCGGAUUAGAUACCCGAGUAGUCC